AGUGAACGCUGGCGGUAGGCCUAACACAUGCAAGUCGAACGGCAGCACAGGAGAGCUUGCUCUCUGGGUGGCGAGUGGCGGACGGGUGAGGAAUACAUCGGAAUCUACUCUGUCGUGGGGGAUAACGUAGGGAAACUUACGCUAAUACCGCAUACGACCUACGGGUGAAAGCAGGGGACCUUCGGGCCUUGCGCGAUUGAAUGAGCCGAUGUCGGAUUAGCUAGUUGGCGGGGUAAAGGCCCACCAAGGCGACGAUCCGUAGCUGGUCUGAGAGGAAGAUCAGCCACACUGGAACUGAGACACGGUCCGGACUCCUACGGGAGGCAGCAGUGGGGAGUAUUGGACAAUGGGCGCAAGCCUGAUCCAGCCAUACCGCGUGGGUGAAGAAGGCCUUCGGGUUGUAAAGCCCUUUUGUUGGGAAAGAAAUCCAGCUGGCUAAUACCCGGUUGGGAUGACGGUACCCAAAGAAUAAGCACCGGCUAACUUCGUGCCAGCCGCCGCGGUAA
rnacentral:rRNA from 1 species